ACAAACUUUUUUGAAAAAAAAAAAAAAAUUCCAAUAUUUUCUAGAGUUUUCUCCCAGCCUCAUCACUACAACAUCACUGUGUUGUUCAGAUGCGGUGACAGCUACACACUGUGGAUACAUUUAAUGACAAAUGAACUUCCUUCAGCUCUAUUCACGGAGCUUUGCAGGAAAAAUGACUGUGACUGAGCGCUGACUGUGUGGUUAUCAAACAAAACCUGUUUGCUGAGGGCUGAACGAAUAAUUUCAGCAGCAACGGGAAAAAAAGGCUGGAACACAAAUGUGAUGCAAAAUGACGGGGAUUUUCAUUGUCAUCACAAAUAACUCAUUCUGGCAGCCAUGACGAUCUAUUUCUGCAGAGGUGGACACAAAUCUGGUAACAUGCCCAAGAUUUAGGGCAAAGCAGCAGCAGAAUUUGAAUGCGGUGGUCUGUUGUUUGUCCGAGUCGCUGGAAGAUGGGGGAUCAUCCGAGAGAAUGAAACAUUCAUGAGAUUGAGGCAUGCUGAAAUUCCUGACCCAGGUCUGCUGAGAGACUGUGAAGUACCUCCUCUCCUUCCUGGGCUAAAUGGGUUUUUUAUUAGUUUACAAUUGAAGAAGGAAGCGCUGCAUGGUUCUGAAGGCUUAUACAACAGAUGCUCUUUGGUGGAGCAGGUGAAAAUACAAAGAAAACAAGAUCCAGCAAAAAAACCCCAACCCAACACAUAAGGCCUAGUACAUAACCAAUACAGGGCACUAAAACAAGAGCAUGGGCCCCAGACAUGCAUACAUGCCACAUGGUUGUGUUUUAUUGCUUCUACUGUUGUCUUUUUUUUGCUUGGGAAUGUCUGUCUCUUAUUCUUAUUUAUUACUGCUACUUACUCUGUACAUUUUUCCCCUAAUAUACCAGUUACCAAACAGUAUAUUAGCUAACAGCUACCCUGUUGUUGUUGUUGUUGUUUGUG